rnacentral:rRNA from 1 species
GUGAGGAAUAUUGGGCAAUGGGCGCAAGCCUGACCCAGCCACGCCGCGUGAGUGAUGAAGGCCUUCGGGUCGUAAAGCUCUGUGGGGAGGGACGAAAAAUCUCCGUUCGAAUAGGGCGGAGACUUGACGGUACCUCCUUAGCAAGCACCGGCUAACUCUGUGCCAGCAGCCGCGGUAAUACAGAGGGUGCGAACGUUGCUCGGAUUUACUGGGCGUAAAGCGCGUGUAGGCGGGCUCGCAAGUCGGUUGUGAAAUCCCUGGGCUCAACCUAGGAACUGCAUCCGAAACUGCUUGUCUUGAGUGGUAGAGAGGGUGGCGGAAUUCCCGGUGUAGAGGUGAAAUUCGUAGAUAUCGGGAGGAACAUCAGUGGCGAAGGCGGCCACCUGGAUACUUACUGACGCUGAGACGCGAAAGCGUGGGGAGCAAACAGGAUUAGAAACCCCUGUAGUCC